GCCAGACUCCUACGGGAGGCAGCAGUGGGGAAUAUUGGGCAAUGGGCGAAAGCCUGACCCAGCAACGCCGCGUGAAGGAAGAAGGCUUUCGGGUUGUAAACUUCUUUUGACAGGGAAGAGCAGAAGACGGUACCUGUCGAAUAAGCCACGGCUAACUACGUGCCAGCAGCCGCGGUAAUACGUAGGUGGCAAGCGUUGUCCGGAUUUACUGGGUGUAAAGGGAGCGUAGGCGGGACUGCAAGUUGGGUGUCAAAUCUACCGGCUCAACCGGUAGCCGCACUCAAAACUGCAGUUCUUGAGUGAAGUAGAGGCAGGCGGAAUUCCUAGUGUAGCGGUGAAAUGCGUAGAUAUUAGGAGGAACACCAGUGGCGAAGGCGGCCUGCUGGGCUUUUACUGACGCUGAGGCUCGAAAGUGUGGGGAGCAAACAGGAUUAGAUACCCCUGUAACC
rnacentral:rRNA from 1 species